GAUGAAGAACGUAGUGAAAUGCGAUACUUGGUGUGAAUUGCAGAAUCCCGUGAACCAUCGAGUCUUUGAACGCAAGUUGCGCCCGAAGCCACUAGGCCGAGGGCACGCCUGCCCGGGCGUCACACGCCGUUGCCCCCCCAUCUACUCCUUCGGGAUUGCGGGGGGGCGGAUGAUGGCCUCCUGUGCGCCUAGCCGCGCGGUUGGCAUAAAUACCAAGUCCUCGGCGACGCACGCCACGACAAUCGGUGGUUGCGAAACCUCGGUUGCCCGUCGUGUGCGUUCGUCGCGCAUCGAGGUCUCGAAAAAAUGCUCGGCUCCGGCUGGGCUUUCAACGCGACCCCAGGUCAGGCGGGGUUACCCGCUGAAUUUAAGCAUAUCAAUAAGCGGAGGA
rnacentral:misc_RNA from 1 species